rnacentral:RNase_P_RNA from 1 species
AGUAAGCUGGACAAUCGCGCCCGGUACGUCGAAAGGCCGCCGGGUGAGGAAAGUCCGGGCUCCACAGGGCAGGGAUAACGGAUAACGUCCGCCGAAGGCGACUUCAGGAAAAGUGCAACAGAGAUAUACCGCCUUGCGUCGUUUUGCGGCGUCGAGGUAAGGGUGGAAAGGCGAGGUAAGAGCUCACCGGCCCCUAUGGUAACACAGGGGCCCUGUAAACUCUAUCCGGAGCAACACCGCAGUGGGGAGUCCGUGCAAACGGAGACCGGCCCGGUCCAUUCCCCCAAGGUGGCAUGGACACGUGCGGCAACGUACGUGCAAGAUAGAUGAUUGUCCACGACAGAACCCGGCUUACAGGCUUGCUCA